ACAAACCAGUUCUUAGAAUUUUUAACCUCCUACACAUUCUGAUCUUUUAAAAUUUUUCUCUUUUAGGUAUUUAGUUAUCUUUUAAAAUUUUCUCUUUUAGGUAUUUAGUUAUCUUUUAAAAUUUUCUCUUUUAGGUAUUUAGUUAUCUUUUAGGUUUUAUUUUUUUGUUCACUCACCCCAAUGUGAUGAUCCUCGAUGAAGGCCUUCAUGUUGGAGUCUCGUAGAGGUUGGGCUGAUUA